UACAGAGGGUGCAAGCGUUAAUCGGAAUUACUGGGCGUAAAGGGCGCGUAGGCGGUUUGAUAAGUGAGAUGUGAAAGCCCCAGGCUUAACCUGGGAAUUGCAUCUUAUACUGUUAGGCUAGAGUACUGUAGAGGGUGGUGGAAUUUCCGGUGUAGCGGUGAAAUGCGUAGAGAUCGGAAGGAACACCAGUGGCGAAGGCGACCACCUGGACAGAUACUGACGCUGAGGCGCGAGAGCGUGGGGAGCAAACAGG
rnacentral:rRNA from 1 species